rnacentral:rRNA from 1 species
AUUGAACGCUGGCGGCAGGCCUAACACAUGCAAGUCGAGCGAGCGGCGGACGGGUGAGUAAUGUCGGGGAAACUGCCUGAUGGAGGGGGAUAACUACUGGAAACGGUAGCUAAUACCGCAUAACAUCAUGUGUGCCCAUAUGGGUAUAGCUAGUAGGUGGGGUAAUGGCUCACCUAGGCGACGAUCCCUAGCUGGUCUGAGAGGAUGACCAGCCACACUGGAACUGAGACACGGUCCAGACUCCUACGGGAGGCAGCAGUGGGGAAUAUUGCACAAUGGGCGCAAGCCUGAUGCAGCCAUGCCGCGUGUAUGAAGAAGGCCUUAGGGUUGUAAAGUACUUUCAGCGGGGAGGCGUUACCCGCAGAAGAAGCACCGGCUAACUCCGUGCCAGCAGCCGCGGUAAUAC